rnacentral:rRNA from 1 species
ACGGGAGGCAGCAGUGAGGAAUAUUGGUCAAUGGGCGGAAGCCUGAACCAGCCAAGUCGCGUGAAGGAUGAAGGUUCUAUGGAUUGUAAACUUCUUUUGUUCGAGGGUAAAGUGAGUCACGUGUGGCUUAUUGCAAGUAUCGAACGAAUAAGCAUCGGCUAACUCCGUGCCAGCAGCCGCGGUAAUACGGAGGAUGCGAGCGUUAUCCGGAUUUAUUGGGUUUAAAGGGUGCGCAGGCGGUCUUUUAAGUCAGUGGUCAAAUCGUGGUGCUCAACGCCAUCCCGCCAUUGAUACUGGGAGACUUGAUUGCGGUUGAGGUAGGCGGAAUUCGUCGUGUAGCGGUGAAAUGCAUAGAUAUGACGAAGAACACCGAUUGCGUAGGCAGCUUACCAAGCCGUAAAUGACGCUCAUGCACGAAAGUGCGGGGAUCGAACAGGAUUAGAUACCCUGGUA